rnacentral:rRNA from 1 species
GNNGCAGCCAUGCCGCGUGUGUGAAGAAGGNCUUCGGGUUGUAAAGCACUUUCAGUUGUGAGGAAAGAUUAGUAGUUAAUACCUGCUAGUUGUGACGUUAGCAACAGAAGAAGCACCGGCUAACUCCGUGCCAGCAGCCGCGGUAAUACGGAGGGUGCGAGCGUUAAUCGGAAUUACUGGGCGUAAAGCGCACGCAGGCGGUUUGUUAAGCUAGAUGUGAAAGCCCCGGGCUCAACCUGGGAAUAGCAUUUAGAACUGGCAGACUAGAGUCUUGGAGAGGGGAGUGGAAUUCCAGGUGUAGCGGUGAAAUGCGUAGAUAUCUGGAGGAACAUCAGUGGCGAAGGCGACUCCCUGGCCAAAGACUGACGCUCAUGUGCGAAAGUGUGGGUAGCGAACAGGAUUAGAUACCCUGGUAG